AGGAAUAAUUUUUGUGUUAUGUCGUUAAGAUGGUUAUUAUUUUUUAUUUAAUUUAUUUAUUUUUGUUUCUUCUUUCUUUCUAUUUUUUUCUUUCCUUCUCCUUCCUUUCUUUAUCGUUUCCUUUUAGAUUACUCCUCUUUUGCUUUUAAUUUCUUUCCGUUAAUCUUACUACUACUCUAUUGAAAGAGUUGCGUAUUUUGUCG
rnacentral:lncRNA from 1 species